rnacentral:rRNA from 1 species
CCUACGGGAGGCAGCAGUGGGGAAUUUUGGACAAUGGACGCAAGUCUGAUCCAGCCAUGCCGCGUGCGGGAAGAAGGCCUUCGGGUUGUAAACCGCUUUUGUCAGGGAAGAAACGGGUUUCUCUAAUACAGAGACCUAAUGACGGUACCUGAAGAAUAAGCACCGGCUAACUACGUGCCAGCAGCCGCGGUAAUACGUAGGGUGCAAGCGUUAAUCGGAAUUACUGGGCGUAAAGCGUGCGCAGGCGGUUAUGCAAGACAGAGGUGAAAUCCCCGGGCUCAACCUGGGAACUGCCUUUGUGACUGCAUAGCUAGAGUACGGUAGAGGGGGAUGGAAUUCCGCGUGUAGCAGUGAAAUGCGUAGAUAUGCGGAGGAACACCGAUGGCGAAGGCAAUCCCCUGGACCUGUACUGACGCUCAUGCACGAAAGCGUGGGGAGCAAACAGGAUUAGAUACCCUGGUAGUCCACGCCCUAAACGAUGUCAACUGGUUGUUGGGAGGGUUUCUUCUCAGUAACGAAGCUAACGCGUGAAGUUGACCGCCUGGGGAGUACGGCCGCAAGGUUGAAACUUCAAAGAAUUGACGG